AGAGAACGGUCCAGGAUUCCUCAUCUGAAUGACAAUGAAGCUGAUGGUGAUACUCCUAGCCAUUGCCAUUUCCGGUCUUUUGGUUCCAGACACAACAGCUUCGCGAGCUGGUGAGAUAUCUGGAGGAGCGUCCGAAGAAGCUCUGCGCUCUGACGGAAGUUCGGAAGACGCCCGUUACAGUGAAUGUAUAUCUUGCGUAAACAACGUCUGCAAAGUGUCACCGAACUGUCAAUAAUUCCUAACCUUGAAAAAAUGUAUUGGCGACAGCAACGCAGCCUUGGCUACUAUUCGGAAGCAGCAGCAGAGUUCCUGAACCACACCUG